AGCCUCUCAUAGCGCCUGCUACAUGGGAGGUUAGCUGUGAAUGAAAGUCUCUCUUUGCUUUUGCAGAAGACUUGGCUAGAGUUGGGGCAAGAAAAAUGGUGCUGGGGUUUUGACAUGCUCUGUAAACACACAUGUUCAGAGCAAGGCUUAUGGCCAGAAAUGAAUGAAAUUCAUAAUGAAGGUAUUCUGAGGAAAUAUGAUCUUACUCUCAAAGUCUCAACAAUACCCUGGGUGAUAACAACUGGCUCUCAAGGAACAAGAUAGCUCCCAAGCAACUCCAGUGCCCAGGAAAGAUGGUGAAGAGAUCUUUGCAGACAAUCUAUCAGUUACUGGGGCAGAAAAAUCAUUGUGACUAGUCAUCUUCAUACGAUAGCUUAAACCAACAGACUGAGAAUUUAUAGUGUAGCGAAGGGCAGUCUAAUGCAGUAGUUACUUGGAUCCACUCUUGCUGUUUUGUGACCCUGGGCAAUCCAGUUAACCUCCCCCAUAUAUUAGCUUUCUAAUGUAUAAAAUGGAGAUGACAAUGGUAUCUACCUCAUUGAAUGGUGCAAAUUAAGCAAAUUCAUGAAUGUAAGAUGCUUAGAGGACAUCCGACACAUGAGUGCAGGACAAAUGUUGGCUUUUAUUCAAUUCUAGGUCCACAAACAAAACUUUACAAAAUAAAGAGGUUUUUGUUGUUUUUCUUUUCUCUCUCUCUCUCUCUCUUUUUUUUUUUUUUUUCAUCAUCUCAAGAAAUCAAAGGCAUGCACCUGGAAAAAGAAAACACACUUUUGAAGUCUUCUAAUCACUAGGGCUCUGUAUUUUGUUGCAGUCCUAUAGUGUGGGUAUUUAAAGAAUAAGGCCAGGCAACUCUGUCUCUAGUCUUUGUUCAUUCAUUUGAUGCGUCCUUGAGCACCUUACUAAGCACCAGUCAAUGUUGUGGACAAUGGGGAUAUAGCAUGAUGAAGCCAGAAAGGAUACUGCCAAAAAGGCAUACAUUAAACUCAUAAUUACACCCAAAUUUACCAAAUACAGGAUCCUUCUUUGCUACCACAAAAUUCUUAAUGGCUUUAAGUCUCAACUUUCUCAUCUGUAAACUAAGGGCAAUAACAGCUGCUCCUUCUGUAUGUUGCUGUGAGAGGAAAUAAAAUCGUCUUUAUAACAAAACUUUGUGAGAGCUGAAAAAGUGUUUGAAUAAAUGCAUUCAUGAUAUUAACACUUCCAUUUGGCUGCUGAGAUAGGUUCACUUAGAAGUAUUCAUAAAUCUAUCAAGGUAGGGAAUGAAUCAUGAAUCACGUCACAGAGCUUAGGUGGAAACUUAUUCCGUGACUACGAUUCCUCUUAGGUGUACUGAACAUAAGCUCUCCUAAAAACAAAGCCUGUACAUAAAAAUUAAAUUUAGUAUAAGCAAUUUGAAAACUGAAGAAAAGAAAUGUUCACCCUUUUCUGAGAUAUUUAUUUUAUCCUCAGAGAAAGAAUGAAAUAAAAUGCAAUGUCUUUUGCCACUCUCCUCAUAAAUUCUGUCUGUCUAAAUUCCUAGACACAACAAUGACAGAAUUCAUGUAAAUAUACCUAACCUGAGAGGUCAGAUUUGGGGACCUCAUGGAGUGGUGCAUGGGAGUCUGCCCAGCUGCUGACCACACUCAGUGAGUGUAUGAAACCAAAUAUCCAUCCAUGACCGGUCAACAUGGAAACCCUCAUUGAAGAAAUAACUACUUUGCUAAAGGAGCAGGUUAUUUCAAGUAUUUCAUUGAUUUCAGCUCUCAAGUAUUCAACAAUUUUUAAUUUUAAAACAAAUUUAAAUUUAAAAAUAAUUUAAUAAAUUAAUAUUUUGAAAGAGAAUGCUCCCAGCUUGCAUAUGAAAUUUCAGUUUUCCUUAUUUCAGAGGGCACACCUUUCCUUAGUAGAAAUGUAGUGUUAACCACAGCUUAUAAAGUACAUGUUUUAGAUUUGUUUCAAAGCUAGUAUUUUAAUAAAAUAUAUAAUAUAAAAUAACUAAUAUAACACUGAAAUAAAUUACAUCCAUCUUCCUACAAAGUAGUUUAUAGCUUAAUGUGAAAUAUCUCUCUCCCCAAUUCCCACUUUAAAUAUUGAAAUUGCUUGCACAUGCUCAGUGCUUCACAUUCUUACCUCUUAGUAGUUAGUACUUAGCUGUUGUUUAUUAUAAAAAAACAAAAUCACCAAAUAGCUGUCUUGAUUUUUUUUUGCAUUUCAAAGUCAGCUAAUUAAUUUCCAAUAAAUAAAACAGUGAAAGCCUAGUAAUAGAGCACAGAUUUUCCUACUUUUAAGUAAAUUUCUUGCUUUUCAUUGCACUGAAAUAUUAUUUUAUCCAACUGCUUUGUCCACCCUGGCAAUCAGUAUAACUAGAGUGAUAUUAUUUCCCUGUUUGAUUUUAUACAAUGGUAGGCCAUUGGAUCAAGUGUUCUGUGACCUGUUUAUCGUUGCUUAUUCCUGGAUAGAAUUCAGUAGAGAAAAUUCAGAAACUAUAAUGAUGGACUUACAUCAAACUAUUGCACUCAAACUAUUUAGGAAACUGUCUGAAGUCUGAGAGUGUAGUUCAUUAUUUGUGCUUGUCUCACAAGGGCACAAUAUUCUAUGUCAUUUUUUAUAUCAUAGAAAAGGUUAGGUUUGAAAACUUAGCAUUACAAAUGUCACAUUUACUUCCAGUAGGAAAUGUGCAACAAUAUGUGACAAAACUGAAUAAAAUGUUGAAACAUGUUUUCCUUUUGUUUUACUUUACUCAUUUUUGUAAUACAACACUGGUUACUGGAAAAUGCCUUACAGCUUUAUUCAAAACACAUGUUCAAAGAUUUGAAUGAAAAAACUUCGACUCUCUCUGGAACAUCUAACCGAUACAUCAUUUGUGUGCCUUAAAUUUUUUCUUACUGUCAGGAACACUUUUAUGUCUUUAAGAUUUAUUUAAACUAGGUUAUUAUAUAAUGAAGCUUGUCAGAUCAUAGGAACAAAGUCAAACAAGAUGUGCUAUAUCAAAGUAUAACAUUUAACAUAUAGAUUUAAGUAUACAUAUCAAGUACAACGCAAUCAAGCAAAGUUUAAUCUGAAAAUGCAAAUGCUUCAGAUUAUUAAAGCCACAUCUGUCCUUUGAAGCACAAUUUAGAUUGUUUAUCAAAAAGCUAUGUGUAAUUAUUCUCUCCCACCCUAGACUUUGUAACAACAGAUUUCUUAAGAACAUUUCAAUUUCACUUCAGAGUUGGGAUUUUAAAUACUUAACCACCAAAGGACACGAGAACACAAACGGAAAAUUAAAAAUCUUUACAAUGUAUUCUAUUAUAAUUGCUGUUUUGUUGGUGAAUCAGGGUAAUAUUUCAAAAAGCAUUACUCCGAGUUUUAGGAAGAAAUUCCCAAUGCUUUUAGAAAUCAAUUCCACAUAGUUCUAGCAUCAAAAAUGUGUCCUUAAACAUAUUAUUACAAUUUUUCAUAUAAAGCUUUAUAUUACAUUUCACUCUCUGCCUUGGCCAACAGGAAACAUCAAAGGCAACAUUUUAGGUAGUAAAGAGAAAUUCCAAAACACUAGGGACAGAGCUUUGAAUUUUAAGUACUUGAAGUUCCCAGGCCUUAAAUUUAUAUAAAAAAUAAGUAAGUCUGUUGUAUUCUCUUAUGUACGUUCAUUGACCUAUAAAAUUCUCUUAAAUACACCCAUUGGUCUAUCCAUUGAAAAGAUACAUAUACUGUCCUAGGUAAUAUUAUUAAGUCUGAACACUUGAGAAGGAACUGAAUCACUGCACUAUUAUCCUAGAGCAGACCUAAUUUCUGUGCAAAAGUAUGAUCUUUCAUUUUAUCCAUAAGAACUGAAUAUGACAGAAAUGCUGGGCUCUCAUUUACAAAAUCCACUUAAAUAUGAGGGCUCAUUUUAGCUUAUAACAGCUCACAUCUAUUAUAAUCUCAGAAAGCAGCAAUAACUUGUAAAAUUAAUUGGAGUCUCUGUUAUCUAUAGGAAAAUUUAAAAUUAAAUAUGUAUUUUAAAAAACAAUAAAAGAGAGGCUUAUUGAACUUGAAAGUAGAGAUUCACUGCUUGUCAAUCUAGAUCAUGAAGGAUUCCUGUACAAAUGCAGGUAGUAACAAGGUCACGGUAGCUCAAACUCUGCUUGUGCAUUCAAAUUCAAUCCAGAAACCUCCAACUGCUAAAACCAUAAACGUUCUAUAUAUUAUCGCCUCAAUAUUUUACAUUUAAUGUAUCAAUUAUAAUCCGGCUUCAGUAAUCAACAUGGGAGAGAAGGAAAGUGGUGGCUAAAAAAACUUCAGCUUAACUUAAAACAAUUUUUUCAAAUGGAUUAACUCAUUCCUCUCUGAUGCCAUAGGCGAAGCAAACAAAAAACUGGAUGAUAGCACUAAUUAUAUAUUUUUUAAAGAAACUGGUAUCAACAGUUUGACUGAAAGGUUAAAGGGGAAACAUAAUUCUAUAAUAUCAUAAACUCUGUCAUAGCAUAUUCAGAAAAGGAAAUUGUUGACAAAUGUAAUUGAGGCAAGUGCUUUAUUUCCUUUCCCUAAAUGUAGAGAGAGCUUGAUUGUAUUUCUGAAACUUUAAUGCAAACUCUACAGUAAAGUGAAGAAGGGCUUGGAAUGAAACACAGUAUAGUUUCUCCAUGAGAAACAAUUAGUAUGCCGAAGAGCUUAUGUCGAAGGAAACUUCUGAAAUCACAAAGCCCAUUAAGACACAAACUGGCUGUGGAUCUAGAAAUACUAGGGAUUUCAGGGUAAGGAGGGAGCAGGAUAAAAGAGAAGGGGGGCGGGGCAAAGAGCUCAAUUAACACACAGCCAUUUGAGUAGGGACUGCUCUUUUCAUGUCCCUCCCAUUUUACAAAUGCCCAGAGGCAUUUCUGCAGUGGAACACCUUUGCAAAUUCUAAAAAUAAAGCAAUAAACUUUAACUCCUCAACUUUCAUAAUAUUUUGACAGAUUCUCCCAACUUUAAUUUCCUUUUUGUAAUGGUAGUGUGAUUUGCAUUAUGUUACAUUGCUUCAUUUUGCCAUUAAAAAAAAAAAGUUAAUCUCAAGAGAACUGCUCUGGAAAUUAUGCGCUACUUUAAUAGACAUCCCCUCAGAAUGGAAUAAAAAUAAUUUUCUCUUUGUAAUCUUAUCCUGUAAUGGUUGGUACGAUCUCACCAUAGGCCUGUUUUGGAAGCAAGGUUUGAAUUUUCUUAAAGAAAUUUUGAAUGUUAUUCUUAGAACAGCUUCUUGUUUCUCACAAAAAUCAUUUAUGUAAAGGGAAGGAGCACACUGAUUUAUUUAAAAUUUGGGGAAAUUGCGAACCAAAAAAAAAAUGCAUUCCAAUUUACAAGUUACUUGAUUCUGUCAUAUGAAGUGGCAGUGUCCUUUUCCUUUCCUGCUUAAAAAAGCAGCUCUGGCCUGUGGAAGGCAAGUGGCAAAUGUAAGCUUUAUGGCAAAACCCACUCAAUGAUUUAAAAAUGCUCCAGGAACACUGUGUUGGAAAGAAAUCAGUGGUACUGAGGUGUGAAUGGAGGAUGCUCUUUAAAGGAAGCAAUUUGACCUUUUGUUAAAAAAAAAAAAAAAGUCAGUAUCUCUAUUUUGCCUUUUGUACCCAAAUAAAGCUCAUUUAUUCUGAACUUUUCUGUGAUUUGAAUUUCUACCUAUUAGGCUUUCCUAUAUUGCGAUAUGAGUGUCCAGGAGCCAGGACAGAGAAUAAGACACAUUUUUUAAAAAGGGAUAGGCUAGAAGGAUAGCACUGGAAAUGACAUUAACAGACAUAAGGGGAAUAACAUGGAAUGUGAUAGCUAGCAAGCUAUAAAGUCACUAAGGGGGAUGAGACUGACGUUCAAUAGGAUAAGAAAGCAGUCCUGAACAUAAAAUUUCUUAUCACUACUCUUAGCUCACUGUGUAAAUAACCCCACACUUCUAGUACACCUCAAACUUCUCUGCUAUCUAAGGAAGGAGUAUAAUCAUUUCUCCCCAGGUUGAUCAUAACCUGAGCUUCUUCCUAUGACUGCAAGAAAAUCUCCAUAACCUUGGGCACAACAGAGAUGUUACCCAAGAGUAGUCCUGCUGUACGACAUCAAUUAGAAUGACUGAGGCAGCCUCCUCCACAGCCUUUGUUUUCUAGAUUUUUCGUGCCUACAGAAAUUCCCCAUGAAGAUUCCACUAUUCCACACUUCACUGAUAAGGAAUGACAAACUAGAGCACUGCUUUUGUUUCUGAGUUUCAAUUUCCGAAAUACGAAUAGCAUAGUAAUGUAUGUAACUGUAACUCAUCAAGUUCUAUAUAUUUUUUAAUUCAUAUUUUUAAAUAGUGAAUUUUCAAUUAUCUUCAAAGGAUCAUAUGCCCUACAGUUUAUUUCUGACAAAUCAUCUGUUUUAUUAUUUCUGACAUCCUUACCUAUUCUGCUUAAUUAAAUGAUUUAUUUACAUAAACGGGAUAUUUGCUUAAUCUAAUCCAGGAUUUUAAGAGGGAGAAAUGCUUUAGGAAUAAAAAUAAUUUCCCUUGCAUAUAUGAACAAACAAAUAGUACUUCUGUGUGAAGGUUGAUAAAAAUUAACUCCCAGAAUAAAGUGGAAGCAAAACUGAUGAGAGGGACAGGAUGGAAAAAGUAGGCAGUUUCCAGCCUUUUGUGAGUCACAUAUUAACUCUGUGGUUACCGUGUCUCAAGAAUUUUCAGGUUACAGAUACUCUCCAAUGAACAAUUAAAACCCUUGCCAAAGCCAAAUGUAAACGACUUUGAAAAAAGUUUUAUACUCCUCAAUGGCAGACACACACACAAAAAACCUGAAGAGUAGAACAGAGUGACUAAUUCACCAGCACAGCAUUUCGAGAAACAAGUGAACUGCUUGUUAUACUGAUGUUUUCUCCAAUCCUCCACAAAGCAUAUAUGCACACAGGAAGCAAUUAUAAGCUACAGAACUCAUAAUACAUUUUGAAAAAGGGAUAUACAUAGUACAUUACUUGUUUGCCUAAAAGCCAUCAGAAUUUAAGGCCAGGCAUGGUGGCUCACUCCUGUAAUCCCCACACUUUGGGGAACUGAGGACAAGAGAUCAUAUGAGGCCAGGAGUUUGAGACCAGUCUGGGCAACAUAGAUAAACCCCUGUCUCUACAAAACUAAUUUAAAAAUAUCCAGGCAUGGUGGUACACACCUGUGGUACCAGCUACUUCGUAGGCUCAACCAGAGGAUUGCUUGAGCCUGGGAGGUUGAGGCUGCAGUAAGCCAUUAUCUUGUCACUGCAUUCCAGUCUGGGUGACAGAGUAAGACCCUGUCUCAAAACAAAAACAAAAACAAAAACAUACACACACACAUGCUGAACCAAACAAAACUCCCAAUUGACAAGAUGAAACAGUGUGAAGUGGCCUAAGAUUCUUAUUCACAGUUGCAUAACAGGCUCCUUGAUCUGCAAUAUGUUUGGCAGCAAUAGCAUGAACAGAUACUGUGCAAGUUACAAAUUAACUAGAACAUCAUUAACUGGUGCUAAGAAGACAGAACCUGGUGUUAUCUUUAGUAAAUGGGUAAAUAAGGAAUUUUUUUUUGAGCUAUGGCUUUGCCAUAAUGCCACAAUGAAUGAGCCACAAUCAUAUAAUUGCUUCUUCUCAAAGAAUAUUCAAUGGGCUACAGUCAGGUUUUUUUGUUUUUGUUUUUUUUGAGAUGGAGUCUGGCUCUGUCACCCAGGCUCGAGUGCAGUGGCGUGAUCCCAGCUCACUGCAACUUCCACCUCCCGGGUUCAAGUGAUUCUCCUGCCUCAGCCUCCCAAGUAGCUGGAAGCUCCCAAGUAGCUUCCACCAGAUACCCUAAAUCAGGCUUCCGCCACCAAACCUGGCUAAUUUUUGUAUUUUUAGUAGAGACGGGGUUUCACCAUGUUGGCCAGGCUGGUCUUGAACUCCUGAACUCAGGUGAUCUGCCCACUUUAGCCUCCCAAAGUGCUGGGAUUACAAGGGUGAGCCACCGUGCCCAGCCUGGUUUGUUUUUUUAAAACCAACCACUAUGCCAUAUCAAUGCUACCCAUUGACUACAGUCCAGCUUGUUUGAAAGUGUCUGGAAAAGUAAAUCUCUCAAUUAAUUUCAUAAAAGGCUAUUACUGAAAUCAGCAUGAAUAUUUCCAUGUCCAGCCUUGGAUAUGCUUUGGUCUUUGACAGCUUGACUAUCUCUAUGAUUGGGCAACAAGGACAGGGUUUUAAAGGACAAUGUCUUUUUACUCUUUGCUUCUCUAGCCACAAGGAAUACUAACUUCAAGAACUUCCUAAGCACUUCUCUUUGAUGCAUUUGCCUUUUUUAUUGUUUUAGCAGAAUUAUUAGCCUUUCUACUCUCAGGGUAGAACAUUCUAUGAAUCAGAGGACUUCAAUCAUACUUGCUUUAUACUUAAUGUCCUUUCUAGUCUUUGACUAAGACAUUGAAAUAAGAAAUAAUGCAAUGCACAAUCAAAAUAAUUCUAUGCAAGAUCUGAUAGCUAUCAGAAUUUGAAAAUAUGAAAUGCUGUUUGCUUAUCCUUGUAUUCCAUUUAUUUAAAACAUUUGGUGCAUGUUUUUACAUAUUAAGAACAUAAUUAUAUAUAUUAGCAUAUAAUUUCAUAAAAGAUCAUUGCCUAUCUUACCUUAUUGUUGCCUUAUUUGUGAAUGUUAUGUAUAUAACAGGAAUAACAAGUACUUGUGUAUCAUUAGAAUCAGACAUUAGUUUGGUUUAAAAAAUAAGUCCUUUUGUUUCAUCUGGUCAAUACAGUUUUAUUAAAGGCUAAUCAUUUAAGGUAUUUUAAUCUUAGCCGCAGAAAUGGAAGAAUCUUUCUAUAAAAUAUACCUGUAGCAGUAUAUAAUAUUUAAGAACAACAAAAGGUAAACAAAUGUAACCAAAUGGAUAAAGGGGGCUGCAAAAUUAAAGUUAGAAACUAACAUAUCAAUGAUUCAUAUUCUCUAUGCCACAAGACAUGAAAAAAACAUUAGUUUUUACUACUCUGUAUUCUGGGGACAUUCCUUUAAGAUUGCAUUUAAGAUGAUUUUAGAGACAAUAAGCAUUUCUUUAGAUGGAGUUGAUAUUUAGUUUCUAACUUUUCAGAGUUUAUUUCUAGGCAUAGAGUCUUUAACUGUGGGUAGCACUUAUCUGUACAACAUAGUGUUCUGCUUCUGUGAUUAACGCAAAUAUCACGUAAAGAUGGAGCUGAUGUGAGCCAGGGUCUAGAGCCCUCAAAGGCACUAAUGUAUUUGUUUGCAGAGUGUGAUGCAAUUUCAUGGGGAAUCAGGUCAAUCCAACUUUUCAGCACCUAUCUACCUCCUCCUCAGGCUGUAGGGUAUUGUAUUAGUCCAUUCUUGUGCUGCUAUACAGAAGCGCCUGAGAUUGGGUAAUUUAUAAAGAUCAGAGGUUUAAUUGACUCAAAGUUUCACAGGGCUGGGGAGGCCUCAAGAAACUUACAAUUGUGGAAGAAGGGGAAGCGAACAUAUCCUUCUUCACAUGAUGCCAGGAAGGAGAAGUGACAAGCAAAGAGGGAAAAGCCGCUUAUAAAGCCAUCAGAUAUCUUGUGAGAACUCACUUACUAUCAUGAGAACAGCAGCAUUGGGGUAACCGCCCCCAUGAUUCAAUUACCUCCCACUGGGUCCCUCCCAGGACAUGUGAAGAUUAUGGGAAGUAUAAUUCAAAAUGAGAUUUGGGCAGGGAUAUAGCCAUACCAUAUCAUUCUGCCCUGACCCCUCCCAAAUCUCAUGCCCUCACAUUUCAAAACACAAUCAUGACUUCCCAACAGUUCCCCAAUGUCUUAUCCAGCAUUAACCCAAAAGUCCAAGUCCAAAGUCUCAUCUGAAACAAGGCAAGUCCCUUCUGCCUACAAGCCUGUAAAAUCAAAAGCAAGCUAGUUACUUCCUAGAUACAAUGGAGGUGUAGCCAUUGGGUAUAUACACGUGUUCAAAAUGGAAGAAAUUGGCCAAAACAAAAUUACAGGCCCCAUGCAAGUCCGAAAUCCACUAGGGCAGCCAAAUAUCAAUGCUCUGAAAUGAUCUCUUUUGACUCCAUGUGUCACAAGUAGGUCAUGCUGAUGCAAGAGGUGGGCUCCCAUGGCCUUGGGCAGCUCCACCCCUGUGGUUUGCAGGGUACAGCUCUGCUCCCAGCUGCCUUCAUGGUCUGGCACUGAGUGUCUGCAGUUUUUCUAGGCAACUGGUGCAAGCUGUCAGUGGAUCUACCAUUCUGGGGUCUAGAGGACGAUGGCCUUUUUCUCACAGCUCCACUAGGCAGCCUCAUUGGGGAACUCUUUGUGGGGGGGCUCCUACCGCACAUUUCCCUUCUGCAUUGCCCUAGCAGAGGUUCUCAAUGAGGGCUCAACCACUGCAGAAAACAUGUGCCUGAACAUCCAUGCAUUUCCACACAUCCUCUGUAAUCUAGGCCAAUGUUCCCAAACCUCAAUUCUUGACUUCUGUGAACCUUCAGGCCCAACACCACGUGGAAGCCACCAAGUCUUGGGGCUUGCACCCUCUGAAGCAACAGCCUGAGCUCUAAGUUGGCCCCUUUAAGCCACAGCUGAAACACAGGUCAGCAAGUCUUGAGACUGCACAAAGCAGCAAGGCCCUGGGUCCAGCCCAGGAAACCAUUUUUUCUUCCUAGGCCUCUGGGCCUGUGAUGGAGGGGCUGCUGUGAAGGCCUCUGACAUACCCUGGAGACAUUUUCCCCAUUGUCUCAGCAAUUAAAAUUUGCCUCCUUGUUACUUAUGCAAAUUUCUGCAGGAGGCUUGAAUUUCCCCUCAGAAAAUUGGUUUUCCUUUUGUAUUGCAUUGUCAGGCUGCAAAUUUUCUGAACUUUUAUGCUCUCUUCCCUUUUAAACAUAAGUGCCAAUUCCAAACCAUGUCUUUGUGACUACAUAAAACUGAAUGCUUUUAACAACACCCAAGUCACCUCUUGAAUGCUUUGCUGCUUAGAAAUUUCUUCCACCAGAUACCCUAAAUCAUCUCUCUCAAGGUCAAAGUUCCACAGAUCUCUAGGGCUGGGGCAAAUGCCACCAGUCUCUUUGCUAAAACACAGCAAGAGUCACCCUUAUUCCAAUUCCCAACAAGUUCCUCAUCUCCAUCUGAGAUCAGCUAAGCCUGGACUUCAUUGUCCAUAUCACUAUCAGCAUGUUACUCAAAGCCAUUCAACAAGUCUCUAGGAAGUUCCAAAGUUUCCCACAUCUUCCUGUCUUCUGAGCCUUCCAAACUGUUCCAACCUCUGCCUGUUACCCAGUUCCAAAGUUUCUUCCACAUUUUUCAGUGUCUUUACAGCAGUGCCCCACUCUACUGGUACCAAUUUACUGUAUUAGUCCAUUCUCAUAUUGUUAUAAAGAACUGCCCAAGACUGGGCAAUUUAUAAAGGAAAGGGGAUUAAUUGACUCAUAGUUCCACAUGGCUGGGAAGGCCUUGGGAAACUUAUAAUCCUGGUGGAAGGGGAAGAAAACAUGUUCUUCUUCCCAUGAUGGCGGGAAGGAGAAGUGCCAAGCAAAGAGGGAAAUGCCCCUUAUAAAACUAUCAGAUCUCAUGAGAAUUCACUCACUAUCAUGAGAACAGCAGCAUGAGGGUAACCACUCCUAUGAUUCAAUUACCUCCCACCAGGUCCCUCCCAUGAGACUUGGGGAUUAUGGGAACUGCAAUUUAAGAUGAGAUUUGAGUGAGGACACAGCCAAACCAUAUCAGGCAUGCACUACACAUCAGUUUCCCUGUCAAAAAGCAGUUAUUAUUAUUUUUUCUCCAUGUUUUUUCAUAUAUUCAGAAGAGUAGGGAAGAAGAAACAAAAAGCAAAGCAUCCUUAAUUAAAGCAUUCAAGAUGAUAGCUGAUCUUUCACUUGUGUUGACCAAAUGGCUUAUGCUUAUUUCAAUCACUGCCAUCUAUCAGUCUUAAUUAGCAUCUAUCCAAUAAAACACUUCACUUCUGAAAUAUAUUAAUUACUGUUUUAUGUCUUUGGUUCCUAUUAUCCUAGCUGUACAACCACAACCAUAAAAACAUGGCAUUUUCCAGCACAAAGGGAUAGUAUAUGUUAUGUAUGAUUUAUGUAAGUUUCAUUAACAUUUAGAGGAGUGGUCUGGAAUAAGCUGCUGUUCUCUGACUUUAUGCCCUAAGGAGUUCUUCAGUUUUCGGCACUAGAAUCAAGUCUUUCUUAGUGAGACAAUGAUGAAAAGCUUUCUGCUAUGGGAAUUUCAAAAUCAUUCAUGUUAUAAGUGGCAAAUCCAAAUAAAAAAAGAAGACUCUAGGUUUAGAUGAAAUACUCUGCUCUAUACAUUUUCUAACCACAGAAACCAGGGAACAUUCCUUUUUGUAGUAUUUGUGAGUAAUGCAGGGAAUUUAGAGUCAUUUAUUUCCCUGCUAGCAUUUAAAUGAAUAAUUUUAGAUCAUUUUAAUAAUCUGAUAAUGUGAAGUGCUGUAAAUGGCAGAGUUUUCUGUUAUAUUUACUGAUAAUUGUUCACUUGGAUUGUCAAGAUCAUAGUGUUAGAACCUCAGAAGUUUUGUUAUUUAACUUUGUUUAGGACUAUAAAAAAAAUUCACUGAGACCAUGAGAAAAUUCUCUGGGAUGGAUGGAUGGAUGGAUGGAUAAAAUAAAAGGGUAAAUGGAAAACUUUCUAGAGAAAAAAAAUUCACAGCACUUUGCAAGCUCUUUCUAGCAAUGAUACUAUUAUAGAACUGGGUUAUGCACUUUACUUCUCUCAUAUUGUAGCUUAAAUUUUUUUCUUGUUCCACUGUCAGUGAGAUGAGAGAACAGAUUACUGUUCUGUAAGAGUAGUGAAAGUGUCUGUAUUUAAAAGUGGGCAGAAGUGAGUAAUAUUAUGUUCAAUGGUGUUGCAAACUAACCAGAAUUGAAUUACACUUAUUAAAAUAUUCAGAAAAAAAUUAUUUCUGUUAUUUACACAUGGAAUAUAAGGCAAAUUUCGGUUUCAAAUGUACAAAAUGUAAAGAAGUAAAAACAAAUUGGAGAGGGCAGGUGGGAAUAUUUUAAAAGCUGUGCAAGUGGAUUUAAAACUCUACUUAAGAGACUAGAGAUAAAUAUUCUGUUUGCUCACAAGUUAUAAAAGUAGCAAACCAUGAUGGUGCAGGCUUCUCCCAUCAGUAAGAAAAGAGAAAAAAAUUAUGGGUUCCCAGAAUCAAGAAGACAUUAAAAUUAAGUGUAGAAUGAACUUUCUUUCUUCCUGAACAAAAAUAUGGAAAGCUAAGGAUGAUAAUAUUUACUGCAGGACUUUUAAGCUCUAAGUGCAUAAAACAGAGGAUUAAGUGAAAAACCAGGUUCAUAAAAUGCAUUAGUGUUAUUUUAAAAGAAUGCCAUAGCAAAAGUCAUUAUUUUAUAAACUUUUCUUGCCAUAAAACACACAUCUAGUUAUGUACUGGUUAUAAAGUUAUAAUGAAGGUGAAUAACUUCUAGGGAUGAUGGAAGGUAAUUUUACUAUAUAUUUUUGAAUCACAGUUAUAUAUAUAUAUAUAUAUAUAUAUAUAUAUAUAUAUAUUUGUUAUCAGGAACAAAAUUAUACUCAGACAUGCUUCUUUCACAUUUUCCUUCCUUGUAAAACCUGGAUCACUUGCUACUGCAAUUAGUUGAUGCCAAUUUGAAAUUCUUCUUGGAAACUAUCAUAACUGUGUAAGCACCUUUAAUUUACUGCACAGAAAAACGGAAGCCAUUUAAGUUUCACGAAAAUUGAAAAGAAAGCAGUUCAGUCUCAGUAAAUGUAUGGUAAUAUGCUGAAUACAAUUUUUUUAAAGAAAUGUUAAUCUGAGAUUCCAUUAUUUCAUUUAAUAGUACAGAAAGCUUAUUAAGCUAAGAAUAAUUAUACUAAAUAGUAAACCACAGACAUAAACUUUAGCAGUGCUAUCUCGUUUAGCAGUGCUAUCUCGACGAUUACAAUUUAAUACCAGGAAUGUAUCAUGUAAUGAAUGCAUAUUGAAGAUAGUCCAUGUAAGGCUUCAUACUAUCAAUUACAAAACAAAAGUAGUCUCCCAUUUCACUCCUAUGUGGGAGGAGUUCUACAUCCAUCACAUUUUCCACAUUUACCAUCUGUGAUAAGUUCUAGCUCAAUAAACUUGAAGUUCAAUAAACUUGAAGCACAGAAAGUAAGCAACAAAGAACAAAAGAAAACAGCAAACUAAAUUGUAAAUUAUCAAAUAUACAACAUGCUUUACCAAAAAGAGGUGUUCAGAAAAUAUACUUUCUUUUUU
rnacentral:lncRNA from 1 species